CUACGGUAGAGUUUUGGUCACCUUCUUCUUCAUGUCCCAGCUCCCUCCCUGCGACUGAGUGAAAGAACUCGUUAUGACCUCAUGCAAACGGUGAUGGAGAUGUUAAUCAUCCUCCAUUUUCAUGUUCAAUUUCACUUUCUCACUUGACUCGGUAAAGUCUCACAUCGCUUAGUAUCAGACUACUCUGACAGAAUAUAUAUCAAAGGAAACACAAAAGGCUCGUCCCUUCGGGGACAUCCGAUAAAAUUGGAACGAUACAGAGAAGAUUAGCAUGGCCCCUGCGCAAGGAUGACACGCACAAAUCGAGAAAUGGUCCAAAUUUUUUUUCCCCCCACUACCCCUACUUCCAGGUUCAGUCAGAUUUUGUGUGUUGGACUGUUGUAGCAUGGUAUAUUGAUUAUAGAUGAUAAAAGAAAGUUGGGUAAUUUGAUUUGGGCCAAUUCAUGAAAGGGAAACUGAAGUACUUUUCAGAUCUUAUCCUAAUUGCAGUAAGCUCUUUUCUUCUUCCAGUUCAUGAAGAAUGAUGACAAUAAAAGAAAGGCCUUGGUUAUAAAUUUAUAAUGCAUGUUCAUGAAUACUGUAUUUGUAAUGCACCCUCAACAUUCAACAAUUCUCUGCCAUUUGCAUUCAGCUUCAAACAAAGAUCAAUGAGAGAAUUGCGGCAGGGCAUUUUCGCUUCAGCAUCAACUGAACUAAGAGGCUAUGAUACUUCCUUUAUAAAAGAAUCUCCAUCACCUUCCUGUUCUUCUACCGAAUAUCUUACCACAAACCCAAGUUUUGCAUUACCCUCCUCAACACAAUCUGUCAACAUACCCAUCUCUUCAUUUGGUGUUUGAGCCAUAACAUUCAGAAGAUAACAGCAGAAGCAGUAAUCUGGAACCAUGCACAAAUCCGAGAGUUGAUUACAUAUCUUCACAACAUCAUCAGUUCGCUUGGCUUUUAUAUAGCACUGGAUCAUCGAUGUCAGAACAAGGAUAGUAGACUCAAUUCCGGAUUCAAUAAUCUCAUUCAACAUCACCUCCGCCUCUGAAACUUUGCGGUAGCACAAAUACAAUUAUACAAGGUGAUCAUGGAAGAAUAUGUCCAACUGUCAGGCUAUCAAGUCCCAGAACUCUUCAUGUCCCUGAAAAUCCCAACACCUUCAUCGACAUGGUGAACAUCAGUACACAUCGCCAAAAGCACAUUAUAAAGAAUCAAACUCAUCUCAAUUUCCUUAUAAACACUUAGAGCAUCAUCAGUUCAUCACUAAACUGUGCUCUAACAUACACUUAUAACGGAUGCAUAGCAGCAUAGGUCAUCAAAUCCGUUGAGAAUGCAUUAC